rnacentral:lncRNA from 1 species
ACAUGUCAGCAGGUCAGGAAGCAAAAACCCUGGAAUUUAAGUCCAGGGAAGCAGGGAGAAAGCACUUUGCUAAGGAAUCAGCCCAGAACACAGUCCAGACCGGAACCUGGGUUAGGGAAGUCCAAUGGGAAGACCACCCCCCGCUCUGAUGCCACCUAGGAAAUGAGUUUGCUGCAGCCUGACAGUUGUUUUCUGAGUAUAUUUUCAUGUCAAAUAGAAAAAGUAGAACCUUUGGAGGAGGUGUGAAGAAAUGAAGAGCGACUAGAGGAAAAUAGAGAGUCAGAAGUUGCAGUAGGAAGCACCAAAGAAGAAAGCUCUCUGCCUUCACUGAGCUCUGGAAGAGGUGGAAGAGAUGGGAGACUUACAGUUACAUGCUGAUCUUUUCAGUCAUUUGGAUGCCUCAUGUUCUAGGCUCUUAACUGAUGGUGAUGAAGCCACCAACAGGUGUGGAAGGUGUCCUUUUAUUUACACACUAUUUCUUUGAAUAGUGUGAUUAAGUUUUCAUUCUUACAGUUCUAUGCUACGACCAAUUUGAUAACAGAUUCUCAUUUAAUCAUGCUGUCUUCGUAUAUGUAAGCUUCCUUGAUAUCUAAAGAGUGUGAGCUCCUGAGCUAAGUCCAGUGGAAAAUUUGCAGUCUCUUCUAGGAUUAGAUGAAGACCCAAGAAUUCAUCUUGCUACAGUGGGACAAGACU